rnacentral:piRNA from 1 species
UGAACUUGGGGUGAGGGUCACUGG